rnacentral:rRNA from 1 species
AAAUUGAAGAGUUUGAUCAUGGCUCAGAUUGAACGCUUGCGGCAGGCCUAACACAUGCAAGUCGAGCGGAAACGAGUUAUCAGAACCUUCGGGGGACAAUAACGGCGUCGAGCGGCGGACGGGUGAGUAAUGCCUAGGAAAUUGCCCUGAUGUGGGGGAUAACCAUUGGAAACGAUGGCUAAUACCGCAUGAUGCCUACGGGCCAAAGAGGGGGACCUUCGGGCCUCUCGCG